rnacentral:rRNA from 1 species
UACGGAGGGGGCGAGCGUUGUCCGAAUUUACUGGGCGUAAAGGGUGCGUAGGCGGUUGGCUAAGUUUGGUGUGAAAUCUCCCGGCUUAACUGGGAGGGUGCGCCGAAAACUGGCUGGCUAGAGUGUGGGAGAGGGAAGUGGAAUUCCUGGUGUAGCGGUGAAAUGCGUAGAUAUCAGGAGGAACACCUGAGGUGUAGACGGCUUCCUGGACCAUUACUGACGCUGAGGCACGAAAGCGUGGGGAGCAAACAGG